rnacentral:rRNA from 1 species
UGGGGAAUUUUGGACAAUGGGCGCAAGCCUGAUCCAGCCAUGCCGCGUGCGGGAAGAAGGCCUUCGGGUUGUAAACCGCUUUUGUCAGGGAAGAAACGCUCUGGGCUAAUACCCUGGGGUAAUGACGGUACCUGAAGAAUAAGCACCGGCUAACUACGUGCCAGCAGCCGCGGUAAUACGAAGGGGGCUAGCGUUGUUCGGAAUUACUGGGCGUAAAGCGCGCGUAGGCGGUCGUAUAAGUCGGAUGUGAAAGCCCUUGGCUCAACCAAGGAACUGCGUCCGAUACUGUACGGCUUGAGGCUGGUAGGGGGUAGCGGAAUUCCCGGUGUAGCGGUGGAAUGCGUAGAUAUCGGGAGGAACACCGAUGGCGAAAGCGGCUACCUGGGCCAGAUCUGACGCUGAGGCGCGAAAGCUAGGGGAGCAAACAGGAUUAGAUACCCGCGUAGUCCCUGAGCGGGCUGGCAAGGCGCAU